UUUGAUCAUGGCUCAGAUUGAACGCUGGCGGCAGGCCUAACACAUGCAAGUCGAACGGUUACAGGAAGAAGCUUGCUUCUUUGCUGACGAGUGGCGGACGGGUGAGUAAUGUCUGGGAAACUGCCUGAUGGAGAGGGAUAACUACUGGAAACGGUAGCUAAUACCGCAUAACGUCGGCAAACCAAAGAGGGGGACCUUCGGGCCUCUUGCCAUCGGAUGUGCCCAGAUGGGAUUAGCUAGUAGGUGGGGUAACGGCUCACCUAGGCGACGAUCCCUAGCUGGUCUGAGAGGAUGACCAGCCACACUGGAACUGAGACACGGUCCAGACUCCUACGGGAGGCAGCAGUGGGGAAUAUUGCACAAUGGGCGCAAGCCUGAUGCAGCCAUGCCGCGUGUAUGAAGAAGGCCUUCGGGUUGUAAAGUACUUUCAGCGGGGAGGAAGGGAGUAAAGGUUAAUACCUUUGCUCAUUGACGUUACCCCAGAAGAAGCACCGGCUAACUCCGUGCCAGCAGCCGCGGUAAUACGGAGGGUGCAAGCGUUAAUCGGAAUUACUGGGCGUAAAGCGCACGCAGGCGGUUUGUUAAGUCAGAUGUGAAAUCCCCGGGCUCAACCUGGGAACUGCAUCUGAUACUGGCAAGCUUGAGUCUCGUAGAGGGGGGUAGAAUUCCAGGUGUAGCGGUGAAAUGCGUAGAGAUCUGGAGGAAUACCGGUGGCGAAGGCGGCCCCCUGGACGAAGACUGACGCUCAGGUGCGAAAGCGUGGGGGAGCAAACAGGAUUAAUACCCUGGUAGUCCACGCCGUAAACGAUGUCGACUUGGAGGUUGUGCCCUUGAGGCGUGGCUUCCGGAGCUAACGCGUUAAGUCGACCGCCUGGGGAGUACGGCCGCAAGGUUAAAACUCAAAUGAAUUGACGGGGGCCCGCACAAGCGGUGGAGCAUGUGGUUUUAAUUCGAUGCAACCGAAGAACCUUACCUGGUCUUGACAUCCACAGAACUUUCCAGAGAUGGAUUGGUGCCUUCGGGAACUGUGAGACAGGUGCUGCAUGGCUGUCGUCAGCUCGUGUUGUGAAAUGUUGGGUUAAGUCCCGCAACGAGCGCAACCCUUAUCCUUUGUUGCCAGCGGUCCGGCCGGGAACUCAAAGGAGACUGCCAGUGAUAAACUGGAGGAAGGUGGGGAUGACGUCAAGUCAUCAUGGCCCUUACGACCAGGGCUACACACGUGCUACAAUGGCGCAUACAAAGAGAAGCGACCUCGCGAGAGCAAGCGGACCUCAUAAAGUGCGUCGUAGUCCGGAUUGGAGUCUGCAACUCGACUCCAUGAAGUCGGAAUCGCUAGUAAUCGUGGAUCAGAAUGCCACGGUGAAUACGUUCCCGGGCCUUGUACACACCGCCCGUCACACCAUGGGAGUGGGUUGCAAAAGAAGUAGGUAGCUUAACCCUCGGGAGGGCGCUUACCACUUUGUGAUU
rnacentral:rRNA from 1 species